UGUGGCACAGGUGUUUUAGUGUGGUCGACCCCAAAGGAUUUCCACAUGGCCUGGUUAGGGCUACCCAUCUCGGUGGUGACAGCAAGCACAUGUAGCACUAUGGAUGUUGCCCUCUCUAUUAAUUCUGUAAUUAUUGGCUUGUAUUCUGCUCCAUUGGUAGAAUUGCCACUGUAAUGAUAUGCCACUACUUGUUUCCACCGAGUUGUGUUUGCAGCCAACAUAAACACAUAAGCAUGUGUUGCUACUCCUGUGUGUCCUGGCAAAGUGACAUCACCAUAGAGUUUGCCUGUGAGCAUGUGCAGCUCCACACUUGGAGUGAUUGCCAUUUCAUCCAAGGACAGCACACACUCCCUUUCAAGGGUUCUGAUCCCUGGCAAGGGAAUCUGCAAUUCCUGUAGGGUCUUGUAACCAGUUGGACCAGCUGCAAAGCAAAUUUUUAAUGCCUUCUUAAUUGUUUCAUUGCUCCAUUUCAUACCUUUUGUGACCCAGGUAACUGGCUGAUGGUUCACUGGAAUGCUGACUGGCUGCUGACUGACUUGCUGCUGACUGACUUGCUGCUGACUGACUUGCUGCUGGCUGACUGGGUAGUGUCACCUGUCCCUGUCUCUAGCCAUGUCCUCUAUUUCUUCACUGUCACUUUCCCUUCUCUGAGUGUCCUCAUUAUUUUUUUCCUCAACCUUUGAAACUGAUAGAGGCAGAAUACAUGGUAUUGCUAAUUUUAAAUAUUGCAAUGUCACAUCACUUCAAAAUUAGAAAUAUUACUUCAACUAGUACGAGUUUGUACUUAUUAUAUAUGUAUCACCUGUAAUACUAUAGCUGUGAUCAGCAGCGAUUUGCUGUAUGUUUAAAGGUCUAGGGGUGCAUCGUGGA